AGAGUUUGAUCAUGGCUCAGGAUGAACGCUAGCUACAGGCUUAACACAUGCAAGUCGAGGGGAAACGGCAUUGAGUGCUUGCACUCUUUGGACGUCGACCGGCGCACGGGUGAGUAACGCGUAUCCAACCUUCCCAUUACUGUGGGAUAACCUGCCGAAAGGCAGACUAAUACCGCAUAGUCUUCGAUGACGGCAUCAGAUUUGAAGUAAAGAUUUAUCGGUAAUGGAUGGGGAUGCGUCUGAUUAGCUUGUUGGCGGGGUAACGGCCCACCAAGGCAACGAUCAGUAGGGGUUCUGAGAGGAAGGUCCCCCACAUUGGAACUGAGACACGGUCCAAACUCCUACGGGAGGCAGCAGUGAGGAAUAUUGGUCAAUGGACGUAAGUCUGAACCAGCCAAGUAGCGUGCAGGAUGACGGCCCUAUGGGUUGUAAACUGCUUUUGUAUGGGGAUAAAGUCAGUCACGUGUGAUUGUUUGCAGGUACCAUACGAAUAAGGACCGGCUAAUUCCGUGCCAGCAGCCGCGGUAAUAC
rnacentral:rRNA from 1 species